GCCCCACGCAGCGAUCGAACCCCUCAAGCGGGUGUCGCAGGUUCGAAUCCUGCCGGGGGCA
rnacentral:tRNA from 2 species